rnacentral:rRNA from 1 species
AUUGAACGCUGGCGGCAGGCCUAACACAUGCAAGUCGAGCGGAGCGGCGGACGGGUGAGUAAUGCCUAGGAAUCUGCCUGGUAGUGGGGGAUAACGUCCGGAAACGGGAGCUAAUACCGCAUACUAUCAGAUGAGCCUAGGUCGGAGUAGCUAGUUGGGGGGGUAAAGGCCUACCAAGGCGAAGAUCCGUACCUGGUCUGAGAGGAUGAUCAGUCACACUGGAACUGAGACACGGUCCAGACUCCUACGGGAGGAAGCAGUGGGGAAUAUUGCACAAUGGGCGCAAGCCUGAUGCAGCCAUGCCGCUUGUAUGAAGAAGGCCUUCGGGUUGUAAAGUACUUUCAGCGGGGAGGCGUUACCCGCAGAAGAAGCACCGGCUAACUCCGUGCCAGCCGCCGCGGUAAUUC